UUCCAUAUAGUAGGAAGUGGCUGCAUCAGUAAUACAGCAUGUAUUAACAGCCCAUAGGAAUUGUCAUGCCUAUUGUGUCACUAAUCCAUAGAUUAUGUGCCUUUUAUAGAGCCUAUUACAUAACAGAUCAUGAUGGGUCAUCAUGUCAAGAAUGGAAGGAUUAAAAGAAGAGGUAUUUUUCACAUUCAGAUUCUGAUUCCUAAGAAGCUUUUUGUGAGUCCAAAACAGACUGUACCAGAGCCUGUGUACAUAUAUACCAGAAGUCAUCAGACCCUGUGGUGGACUACAAGGAUGUUGAAAAUGGACAAUCAAGGACAGUGUGCUGUAUGUCAGAAGUAUGGCAGCAAGCAGAACCACAUGAGGAGCAAAUUGCCACAACCACUACACAUCUCAGCCUGUGCAGAAGCAGCUACAUGUAUCUCACAUGUCAGGACAGGGAGGUAUAAGAUUUCACAGAUUUCUUUUGGGAGCAAACAUGAGAACCUGACAUAUGGGGAAAUGUGA
rnacentral:lncRNA from 1 species